CCUACGGGUGGCAGCAGUGGGGAAUAUUGGGCAAUGGGCGCAAGCCUGACCCAGCAACGCCGCGUGAAGGAAGAAGGCUUUCGGGAUGUAAACUUCUUUUGUCAGGGACGAAGCAAGUGACGGUACCUGACGAAUAAGCCACGGCUAACUACGUGCCAGCAGCAGCGGUAAUACGUAGGGGGCAAGCGUUAUCCGGAUUUAGUGGGUGUAAAGGGCGUGUAUGCGGGAAUGCAAGUCAGAUGUUAAAACUAUGGGCUCAACCCAUAGCCUGCAUUUGAAACUGUAUUUCUUGAGUGCUGGAGAGGCAAUCGGAAUUCCGUGUGUAGCGGUGAAAUGCGUAGAUAUACGGAGGAACACCAGUGGCGAAGGCGGAUUGCUGGACAGUAACUGACGCUGAGGCGCGAAAGCGUGGGGAGCAAACAGGAUUAGAUACCCCAGUAGUC
rnacentral:rRNA from 1 species